GAUUAACGCUGGCGGCGUGCAUAACACAUGCAAGUCGAACGAUGAAACUUUUUUGAUUUCUUCGGAAUGAUUAAAAGUGGAUUAGUGGCGGACGGGUGAGUAACGCGUGAGUAACCUGCCUUAGAGAAGGGGAUAGCCUUUGGAAACGAAGAAUAAUACCCUAUGAAACCAUAACCUCGCAUGAGGAAUUGGUCAAAGAUUUAUCGCGCUAAGAUGGACUUGCGUCUGAUUAGUUAGUUGGUGGGGUAACGGCCCACCAAGACAGCGAUCAGUAGCCGGCUUGAGAGAGUGUACGGCCACAUUGGGACUGAGACACGGCCCAGACUCCUACGGGAGGCAGCAGUGGGGAAUUUUGCACAAUGGGGGAAACCCUGAUGCAGCGACGCCGCGUGAUUUAGAAGGCCUUCGGGUUGUAAAAAUCUUUUCUAUGGGAAGAAAAUGACAGUACCAUAGGAAUAAGGACCGGCUAAUUACGUG
rnacentral:rRNA from 1 species